AUUGAACGCUGGCGGCAUGCUUUACACAUGCAAGUCGAACGGUAACAGGUCUUCGGAUGCUGACGAGUGGCGAACGGGUGAGUAAUACAUCGGAACGUGCCUAGUAGUGGGGGAUAACUACUCGAAAGAGUAGCUAAUACCGAAUGAGAUCUACGGAUGAAAGCAGGGGACCUUCGGGCCUUGUGCUACUAGAGCGGCUGAUGGCAGAUUAGGUAGUUGGUGGGGUAAAGGCUUACCAAGCCUGCGAUCUGUAGCUGGUCUGAGAGGACGACCAGCCACACUGGGACUGAGACACGGCCCAGACUCCUACGGGAGGCAGCAGUGGGGAAUUUUGGACAAUGGGCGAAAGCCUGAUCCAGCAAUGCCGCGUGCAGGAUGAAGGCCCUCGGGUUGUAAACUGCUUUUGUACGGAACGAAAAGCCUGGGGCUAAUAUCCCCGGGUCAUGACGGUACCGUAAGAAUAAGCACCGGCUAACUACGUGCCAGCAGCCGCGGUAAUACGUAGGGUGCAAGCGUUAAUCGGAAUUACUGGGCGUAAAGCGUGCGCAGGCGGUUUUGUAAGACAGUGGUGAAAUCCCCGGGCUCAACCUGGGAACUGCCAUUGUGACUGCAAGGCUAGAGUGCGGCAGAGGGGGAUGGAAUUCCGCGUGUAGCAGUGAAAUGCGUAGAUAUGCGGAGGAACACCGAUGGCGAAGGCAAUCCCCUGGGCCUGCACUGACGCUCAUGCUCGAAAGCGUGGGGAGCGAACAGGAUUAGAUACCCUGGUAGUCCACGCCCUAAACGAUGAGUGAUAAGUGUUGGAGGGUUUCCGCCCUUCAGUGCUGCAGCAAACGCAUUAAGCACUCCGCCUGGGGAGUACGACCGCAAGGUUGAAACUCAAAGGAAUUGACGGGGGCCCGCACAAGCGGUGGAGCAUGUGGUUUAAUUCGAAGCAACGCGAAGAACCUUACCAGGUCUUGACAUCCUUUGACCACUCUAGAGAUAGAGCUUCCCCUUCGGGGGCAAAGUGACAGGUGGUGCAUGGUUGUCGUCAGCUCGUGUCGUGAGAUGUUGGGUUAAGUCCCGCAACGAGCGCAACCCUUAUUGUUAGUUGCCAUCAUUUAGUUGGGCACUCUAGCGAGACUGCCGGUGACAAACCGGAGGAAGGUGGGGAUGACGUCAAAUCAUCAUGCCCCUUAUGACCUGGGCUACACACGUGCUACAAUGGGAAGUACAACGAGUUGCGAAGUCGCGAGGCUAAGCUAAUCUCUUAAAGCUUCUCUCAGUUCGGAUUGUAGGCUGCAACUCGCCUACAUGAAGCCGGAAUCGCUAGUAAUCGCGGAUCAGCACGCCGCGGUGAAUACGUUCCCGGGCCU
rnacentral:rRNA from 1 species